AUGGUUUUAUAAGAAUAGGUCUGUGUAAACAUAUUGAGAUGCUUAUUUAUAUUCAAUUUAUGGACAUUAGCACUGUGGAUCGGAGUAAUGGCCAAAAUGAGCCUAAAAUAUUUAUUACUGUACAGCACAUUUUUGUAAAGAAAAGGAUAACAAAAAGGAAAAAAAAGCACCUUAAAGAGUGUGACUCACAGUUCAUCUACAGAAUGAGUCAAAAGUUGAGAAUCAACAAAAUACCUG